CGCACUUACAUACUUGUUAGAACGUGACAGGCAUGGUGACAAAUGAUAAAGAGCCCUCCUGUAGGGCUAAGAUGGCUAAAACCGCGAAAAUCGAAGUUCGUCAAUUGCGGGCAUUUUUCUCCGUCACUCUAAUUACGUCUUAGUGAGAGU